CUGCCUAGGGUCUGUUGCCCACCACUCAGCCUUCCAAAAAGACACACAGUAUCAUUCUAAAACAGUCUUUGCACAGCCUUUCGCUUGCUCCUCUCAGCGUCUUUUUGGUAAACAAAACUGGAAACCCGGAUGGGCCAUUAGCAAUGAAGGGCAACAGUGGUUUGGCAUUGUUUCAGCUAAUUGCUGUCCGGAGUGAAAGAUUGCACCAUCUGUGACAGCUGGCCUGAGGAGUCAUCACUGUCUCAGCAAUGCAGAUGUGCAGUGGGGAAGAGGAAGGGCUGUGAAAAGGACUCACUUCUAUUGCUGGCAUACAGAAUACUUCUGAAUUCUUCAGGAGCCUCCUCUCGCAAAUACGGCUUUGGUUGUCCAGGGAACAUCUGCUUAUCCUGUAAUAAUCACGUGCCUUCUCCUUGGAAAAUACUUCUCCCUCUCUCCUUGCCUUGUACGUGUUGAGAGAUCUACGUGGCAACGUAACUGAGGACUCCG